ensembl:snRNA U6 U6 spliceosomal RNA
GUGCUUGCUUCAGCAGCACAUAUACUAAAAUUGGAAUGAUACAGAGAAGAUUAGCAUGGCCCCUGCACAAAGUUGACACGCAAAUUUGGAAAGCGUUUCAUAUUGGC